GACGAACGCUGGCGGCGUGCUUAACACAUGCAAGUCGAACGGAAAGGCCCUGCUUUUGUGGGGUGCUCGAGUGGCGAACGGGUGAGUAACACGUGAGUAACCUGCCCUUGACUUUGGGAUAACUUCAGGAAACUGGGGCUAAUACCGGAUAGGAGCUCCUGCUGCAUGGUGGGGGUUGGAAAGUUUCGGCGGUUGGGGAUGGACUCGCGGCUUAUCAGCUUGUUGGUGGGGUAGUGGCUUACCAAGGCUUUGACGGGUAGCCGGCCUGAGAGGGUGACCGGCCACAUUGGGACUGAGAUACGGCGCAGAGUCCUACGGGAGGCAGCAGUGGGGAAUAUUGCACAAUGGGCGGAAGCCUGAUGCAGCGGCGCCGCGUGCGUGAUGACGGCCUUCGGGUUGUAAACCGCUUUCGCCUGUGACGAAGCGGGAGUGACGGUAAUGGGUAAAGAAGCACCGGCUAACUACGUG
rnacentral:rRNA from 1 species